CCCCUGAUAGCACACACAACUCUCUCUCUUUCUCUCAGAGCCCUCUCUCCCUCUCUUCCUCUCCCAAAUUUCACACACACACAUAAACACCAACACCAUCACACACUUGCACACACAAGCAUUCCCUCUUCCAUAAUUAGAAAAUUUUUCUCUUCAAUCUCCUCUCUCCAUCGGCUCUCUUUCUCUCUUUCCAAAUCUCACCAAAUAACAUUCUCCACUCCACACAAGCAUUUGCACACACACAUCAGAAAUUUAAAAAAAUAGAGAAAAACAAGACUUGUUGCUAUUGCUGGGGUUGCCAUUGAAGAACAAGACAUUGUAAAGUUUUUGUAAUAAAAAAUAUUGCCGACGGCAGUCCGACUGUGGCGGCAACGACGUCAACCAUGGCUGCCGACUGCUGAAGUUUCAAUCUGCCAAAGAAGAAGAAGGAGAGGGAAGAAGAAGAAGGAAAGAAAAGAAAGAAAAAGAAAAUAAGAAAAGAAAUGUGGGCUUGUUCUUUACUUUUACAUGGGCUAGAGUUUUUUUUUUUUGUUUGAGUUUUUGUCUAGGUUUGGAGUGGUUAGGCCUAAUGUGUUUAUUAAUAGGUUUCUCGAGUUUUUAGUUGGAUUUUCUUUUUUUUUUUUUUACAAGACAAUAUUCACUCUUCUCUUGGGCUAGAGUUGUGCGGCCCAAGUAUGUUAAAAUGGCCCAAUAUUGUUUUCUUAUGGAAUCAGAAAUGAAUAUUGUAAUUUGGCUUCUAAUCUUUUCAGUAAUUUUACUAUAGUCCUAAAAUUUUGGAUUUAUUUGACUUAGGACCUUAAUUUAAUUGUAUUUUGAUCCCUAAACUUUAUUUUUACUUAAUUUUGACUCGUAGUCUUUUUGAGAAUUAUAAUUUAACCCCAAAAAUUUUUAAUUUUUGCAAUUUAGUCCCUAUUAGUCUUUUGAUUUCUCAAUUACAAUUUUUUCUCUUCAUUAAUUAUUAAUUGUUCUUCAUUUAAAUACAUUUAAUUGGUAAAUUUUAGAUGUCUUAUGUUUAUUAACAUUUUUGCAAUAAUAAGGGGAAUUUAGUAGAUGUUUUCAUUCUCCUUCAAAGUAUUAUUAAUUAAAUUAGUGUAUUGACCCGUUUGUUGAUUUUGGAAAGAUAGACAACUUUCCUUUCCCCUCAUUUAGCCACUACUUGAAAAGAGAGAUAUACUUAUUACCCUUUAAAUUCUUUUAUAAACUCCUAUAUGCUUUUGUAUGUUUAUAUGUUUAUGUGUUUUUUUCUUUCACUUAUAAAACUCCUAUAUGCUUUUGUAUGUUUAUAAGUUUAUGUGUUUUUUUCUUUCACUUAUUUACUUUAAGCUUUUAUUCAUUUUAUGCAUGUUUAAUUUAAGCCUUGUGAAUAUUUGGAGGCAAUUUAAAUGCCCAAAUUGUAAUAGAUAGGUAAUAUUCUUUUAUGCAAGAAAUAUAAUUAGAUGCCCAAUGUAAUAGAUAGUUUUAUUUUUUGCAAGAAAUGUAAUUAGGUAGAUAAAUGUAAUAGAUAGGUUAGAUAGGUUUAUUAUCUAUAUUUCCCCUUUUAAAUUGUAGUUAGGGCCCUCAAUGUAAUAGUUAGUUAUUGUGUGCUUAUGUGUUUUAUUCAUUUUUUCUAGGGUUUUGCAUCUAAAUAGUAUGCAUAUAUGUUAUGUGCUCUACAUGCUCUAUGUGUUUUAUGUGUUUAUUUGCUUUAA